rnacentral:rRNA from 1 species
AGAGUUUUGAUCCUGGCUCAGGAUGAACGCUGGCGGCGUGCCUAAUACAUGCAAGUCGAGCGAACCACUUCGGUGGGAAGCGGCGAACGGGUGAGUAACACGUAGGUGAUCUGCCCAUCAGACGGGGACAACGAUUGGAAACGAUCGCUAAUACCGGAUAGGACGAAAGUUUAAAGAUGCUCCUGGCAUCACUGAUGGAUGAGCCUGCGGCGCAUUAGCUAGUUGGUGGGGUAAAGGCCUACCAAGGCGACGAUGCGUAGCCGACCUGAGAGGGUGAACGGCCACACUGGGACUGAGACACGGCCCAGACUCCUACGGGAGGCAGCAGUAGGGAAUCUUCGGCAAUGGGCGAAAGCCUGACCGAGCAACGCCGCGUGAAUGAAGAAGGCCUUCGGGUUGUAAAAUUCUGUUAUAAGGGAAGAAAGGUGAUAGGAGGAAAUGACUAUCAAUUGACGGUACCUUAUGAGAAAGCCACGGCCAACUACGUG